rnacentral:rRNA from 1 species
UCUGUAGGUGAACCUGCAGAUGGAUCAUUUAAGAGUUAGGGCGCUCGCAAGAGGCCUGCCACUCAUUACAAACACAUGUGAACUAGAAACCGAGGAAGCUUAAUAAGGGACUUCACUGUCUCUUUGCCAGCCCCUUACCAAAAACACUUUGUAUUAAAACUUAGGAUGAUGAUGUCAAUACUAUUGAAAAACGAAUGUAAAACUUUCAGCAACGGAUCUCUUGGCUCUCCCAUCGAUGAAGAACGCAGCGAAAUGCGAUACGUAAUGUGAAUUGCAGAUCUACCCUGAAUCAUCGAAUUUUUGAACGCAUCUUGCGCUCUUUGGUUAUUCCGAAGAGCAUGCCUGUUUGAGUGUCGCGAACCUCUCAACCCCGCCUAUGCUUGCAUAGGUUGUUAGGGCUUGGAUCAUGGUUGUUGCCGGCUUGUAUUAGCCUUGGCUCAACUCAAAUACAACAAGUUGAAUAGAUCAGUCCUGCGGCUUGUACCCAAUGUUGUAGACAAAACAUCUCGUUGGGGACGCUUGACUAUAGUCGUGUCUAAUGAACUUAAGAAGUGUGAUUUGGGCUUGUACCUUAUCCAUUUUUGCAAUCAGACCUCAAAUCAGGUAGGACUACCCGCUGAACUUAAGCAUAUCAAUAAGCGGAGGA